CCUGGCUCAGGAUGAACGCUAGCGGCAGGCCUAAUACAUGCAAGUCGGACGGGGAUCCUUUGGCGAGCUUGCUCAAAGAAGGUGAGAGUGGCGCACGGGUGCGUAACGCGUGAGCAACCUACCCAUAUCAGGGGGAUAGCCCGAAGAAAUUCGGAUUAACACCGCAUAAUACUUUUGAUCGGCAUCGAUUUACAGUUAAAUAUUUAUAGGAUAUGGAUGGGCUCGCGUGACAUUAGCUAGUUGGUAGGGUAACGGCUUACCAAGGCUACGAUGUCUAGGGGCUCUGAGAGGAGAAUCCCCCACACUGGUACUGAGACACGGACCAGACUCCUACGGGAGGCAGCAGUAAGGAAUAUUGGUCAAUGGAGGGAACUCUGAACCAGCCAUGCCGCGUGCAGGACGACUGCCCUAUGGGUUGUAAACUGCUUUUGUACAGGAAUAACCGUAUCUACGAGUAGAUACCUGAAUGUACUGUAAGAAUAAGGAUCGGCUAACUCCGUA
rnacentral:rRNA from 1 species